AGUGAACGCUGGCGGCAGGCCUAAUACAUGCAAGUCGAACGGUAGCACAGCAGAGCUUGCUCUGUGGGUGGCGAGUGGCGGACGGGUGAGGAAUACGUGGGAAUCUGCCCAGUCGUGGGGGAUAACGUAGGGAAACUUACGCUAAUACCGCAUGCGCCCUUCGGGGGAAAGCCGGGGACCUUCGGGCCUGGCGCGAUUGGAUGAGCCCACGUCGGAUUAGCUAGUUGGCGGGUAAAGGCCCACCAAGGCGACGAUCAGUAGCGGGUCUGAGAGGAUGAUCCGCCACACUGGAACUGAGACACGGUCCAGACUCCUACGGGAGGCAGCAGUGGGGAAUUUUGGACAAUGGGGGCAACCCUGAUCCAGCCAUUCCGCGUGAGUGAAGAAGGCCUCGGUUGUAAAGCUCUUUCUAGCUGGACGAAACGGUACAUCCUAAUAACGGUGUGCUAAUGACGGUACCAGCAGAAGAAGACACCGGCUAACUACGUAGCCAGCAGCCGCGGUAA
rnacentral:rRNA from 1 species